GAUGAACGCUGGCGGCGUGCCUAAUACAUGCCAGUCGAGCGAACAGACGAGGAGCUUGCUCCUCUGACGUUAGCGGCGGACGGGUGAGUAACACGUGGAUAACCUACCUAUAAGACUGGGAUAACUUCGGGAAACCGGAGCUAAUACCGGAUAAUAUAUUGAACCGCAUGGUUCAAUAGUGAAAGACGGUUUUGCUGUCACUUAUAGAUGGAUCCGCGCCGCAUUAGCUAGUUGGUAAGGUAACGGCUUACCAAGGCAACGAUGCGUAGCCGACCUGAGAGGGUGAUCGGCCACACUGGAACUGAGACACGGUCCAGACUCCUACGGGAGGCAGCAAUAGGGAAUCUUCCGCAAUGGGCGAAAGCUUGACGGAGCAACGCCGCGUGAGUGAUGAAGGUCUUCGGAUCGUAAAACUCUGUUAUUAGGGAAGAACAAAUGUGUAAGUAACUAUGCACGUCUUGACGGUACCUAAUCAGAAAGCCACGGCUAACUACGUG
rnacentral:rRNA from 1 species